rnacentral:rRNA from 1 species
UACGGGGGGGGCAAGCGUUGUUCGGAAUUACUGGGCGUAAAGGGCUCGUAGGUGGCCAACUAAGUCAGACGUGAAAUCCCUCGGCUUAACCGGGGAACUGCGUCUGAUACUGGAUGGCUUGAGUUCGGGAGAGGGAUGCGGAAUUCCAGGUGUAGCGGUGAAAUGCGUAGAUAUCUGGAGGAACACCGGUGGCGAAGACGGCAUCCUGGACCGACACUGACACUGAGGAGCGAAAGCCAGGGGAGCAAACGGG